rnacentral:SRP_RNA from 1 species
GCCAGGUGCGGUGGCUCACGCCUGUAAUCCCAGCUACUCAGGAGGCUGAGGCAGGAGAAUCGCUUGAAACCAGGAGGCACAGGUUGCAGUGAGCCGAGAUCAUGCCACUGCACUUUAGCCUGGUCGACAGAGCGAGACUCUGUCUCAA